GCUCUGCGACCAUACCAGAGAUUGGACUGCAUUGACCAUUUCAUUAAUACGGUACUGCGGCAUGGACUCGACAUUUCCAAGUUAUCCAAAGCCGACGGUGCUCCGGACAUAGGAGAUACCAUUACUCCUGCUAAAUCAUUGGUGAGGUACGUUAAACAGUCGGGGUUGGCUGUCAACAACAUUGCUGCAAAUGGUAGACACUCGGUCCAGUACAGUAUACCUCACACUGACUUCUAUGCAGGCCAUUUAUCCAUGUCCAGGUCCAUGAAAAGCUGGAGGCACGAGGGGAGAGCGCGCGCAUUGAAAAAGUAGCACCGGACACACUGGGCUUUUUGAUAGACUUUCUGAAGCCGUUCUAUGAAGCACAGCGGAAACUUGAGGGAGACAAGUAUCCAACACUUAAUAGUGUGUGUCUCUGGUAUGAGAAACUGAAACGCCACAAUGUACAUGUCAGCCCAAUUCCCUGGACUCCCCUCUGCAAGCUGUUGUGCGUAAACGACACGGAGACUGGCUCACUCGUAAAGUGAUAAUACAGGACCUCCACAAGAUGGCAACAUUCCUCUGGCCAAAAUUUAUCCAGCUGAGAAUGUUGUCACACUCAGACAGGAAUGCAGUACACGCUCAUGCCCGCACUCUUCUGCAAGCCAUAGCUGCAGGUGCAGAGAUUCAAGACCCAGAGCUCUCCAGAGUCAAAGCCACUCCUCUGGCAAAAAGGGCGAAUUUUGCGGAGUGGGAAAAUGUAAGGCCAGCUGACGGGGAAGAUGACGAGGUCACUUGCUACAUUGAAGCAGCUGUCAUGGAAAAUUAAAUGGACGUUCUUGGCUGGUGGAAGACCAACAAACAAUCCUACCCGAAACUUCCAAUAUUAGCCAGAUCAGUCCUGUGCUGGCCAGUAACAGCAGCAGUGCAAGGGUGUUCAGUGCAGCUGGACGCACCAUCAGUGAGUGCAGGACCAUGCUGAAGCCAUCUACAGCGGAUUCAGUAAUUUUCCUCCACAAAAAAUGUAGCCUAAUCUUGCUCUACUCUGGAGAUGUAGCUGUAUGAUGAGGACACCCUGUAACGUGAUGACAUCAGCAGUCUGACUGCAGGGAUAAAGGAAACCAAGGAAUUCAGCCUAGACCAUGAGGAAAAACCUACUCCCACAGCACCUGUAGACAUCAGCAUGGUAACACAGCUAAACAUGUUGGUUGAUUGGCCAGACAACAACAGAGACGUGGCCAAUCUGAAGGGUGGAGAAGCCAAGACUAUAGAUAAGAUAUUCCCCUGAUGGAGUCUAGACACUGGUGGUGGUGGUGAAGGAGCCUGAAGACCGGACCGAAGGAGGAAGACCCGGGGAGCCGUAGGUGAUGAUGACUGGAGGUGGAAGGAGAGGAGGAGGGUUGCACUCUUUGUCUGAAAUGACAGCUGAAUGCAGCAGAGAGAGAAGCAGGGAUGUAAUGCUGUGAUUGGUUCGUGAAAUUCAUGGCCAAUUUUGAUUGGUUUAACUGACAAGUGAACUGAAAAGUGAUCGCCUCGAACCAGCUGAUCAAUUUUAGGAAGAGAGAGAGGUGAUUAAGUUUAGAAGUCUUCCUGAAAGAAUUUGCGCUGAGCUUCAUAUGUUUUUAUUUUUGUAAACUUAAAACGGGGACACUGCCCCAGGGGCGUCACUAGACCUAGAGCUGCACUGGGGCACAAGCCCCCCUAGGGGGGGGUCCAUGGGCAUGCUCCCCUCUAAGAAAAUGUUGUCUAUUUUAAAGUUUAAAUGCAUCCACUUUGAAAAGGGAGGGCGUUCUAUGUGUGGAGUAGUUUUGGAGACAUGCCUCUUUGUAAUUAUGACAUUUUUUAUGGCAAAAGAUAUUCCCCAAAAAUUAUGCAUAUUUUUGAAAAGUAAGCGAUGUAGUACAACCAGCAGAACACUAAUUAUGUGUGAGGUAAGUUUAGAGACACAACUCUAAUUAUUAAAAUAUUAAAUGUUUUUGUCAAAGAAUAUUCC